GAUGAAGAACGUAGCGAAAUGCGAUAAGUAAUGUGAAUUGCAGAAUUCCGUGAAUCAUCGAAUCUUUGAACGCACAUUGCGCCCCCUGGUAUUCCGGGGGGCAUGCCUGUCCGAGCGUCAUUACAACCUUCAAGCGCGGCUUGUGUGUUGGGUCUCGUCCCCCGUGGACGGGCCCGAAAGGCAGUGGCGGCGUCCCGACAUGGUGCCCGAGCGUAUGGGAAUCCUCUUCCGCUCGAAUCGGCCCAUGCGGCGCUGGUCGUAACCAAAUUUUUUACCGGUUGACCUCGGAUCAGGUAGGGAUACCCGCUGAACUUAAGCAUAUCAAUAAGCGGAGGA
rnacentral:misc_RNA from 1 species